rnacentral:tRNA from 3 species
GUGGCAGAUCGUGCACUCCCAGUUGAACUUAGGAGAUUUCUUGCCUAGAUUUCGCAUCCCGUUUUAGCGGAUUUGGGAGCAGGAGGUCGCCGGUUCGAAUCCGGCCGCCCCG